rnacentral:rRNA from 1 species
GACGAACGCUGGCGGCGUGCUUAACACAUGCCAGUCGAACGGAAAGGCCCUGCUUUUGUGGGGUGCUCGAGUGGCGAACGGGUGAGUAACACGUGAGUAACCUGCCCUUGACUUUGGGAUAACUUCAGGAAACUGGGGCUAAUACCGGAUAGGAGCUCCUGCUGCAUGGUGGGGGUUGGAAAGUUUCGGCGGUUGGGGAUGGACUCGCGGCUUAUCAGCUUGUCGGUGGGGUAGUGGCUUACCAAGGCUUUGACGGGUAGCCGGCCUGAGAGGGUGACCGGCCACAUUGGGACUGAGAUACGGCCCAGACUCCUACGGGAGGCAGCAGUGGGGAAUAUUGCACAAUGGGCGGAAGCCUGAUGCAGCAACGCCGCGUGCGGGAUGACGGCCUUCGGGUUGUAAACCGCUUUCGCCUGUGACGAAGCGUGAGUGACGGUAAUGGGUAAAGAAGCACCGGCUAACUACGUG